rnacentral:rRNA from 1 species
ACCUACGGGGCGCAGCAGUGGGGAAUAUUGCACAAUGGGGGAAACCCUGAUGCAGCAACGCCGCGUGAGUGAAGAAGUAUUUCGGUAUGUAAAGCUCUAUCAGCAGGGAAGAAGAAAGACGGUACCUGACUAAGAAGCCCCGGCUAACUACGUGCCAGCAGCCGCGGUAAUACGUAGGGGGCAAGCGUUAUCCGGAUUUACUGGGUGUAAAGGGCGCGUAGGCGGGAUAGCAAGUCAGUCGUGAAAUGCCGAGGCUUAACCUCGGAGCUGCGAUUGAAACUGUUAUUCUUGAGUAUCGGAGAGGG